UACGUAGGGGCGAAGCGUUAUCCGGAUUUACUGGGUGUAAAGGGAGCGUAGACGGCACUGCAAGUCUGGAGUGAAAGCCCGGGGCUCAACCCCGGGACGUGCUUUGGUAAACGUAGUGGUGCUAGAGUGCAGGAGAGGUAAGUGGAAUUCCUAGUGUAGCGGUGAAAUGCGUAGAUAUUAGGAGGAACACCAGUGGCGAAGGCGGCUUACUGGACUGUAACUGACGUUGAGGCUCGAAAGCGU
rnacentral:rRNA from 1 species